UACGAACCGUGCGAACGUUGUUCGGAUUCACUGGGCUUAAAGGGCGCGUAGGCGGCUUGCCAAGUCAGGGGUGAAAUCUUUCGGCUCAACCGGAAAAGUGCCUUUGAUACUGGCGAGCUAGAGGGAGGUAGGGGUGCGUGGAACUUCUGGUGGAGCGGUGAAAUGCGUAGAUAUCAGAAGGAACGCCGGUGGCGAAAGCGACGCACUGGAUCUCUACUGACGCUGAGGCGCGAAAGCUAGGGGAGCGAACGGG
rnacentral:rRNA from 1 species